CCUAACACAUGCAAGUCGAACGAAGUAGCAAUACUUAGUGGCAGACGGGUGAGUAACAUGUAGGUAUCUGCCCUUUGGCCUGGAAUAACACGAGGAAACUUGUGCUAAUACCGGAUAAGUCUUUACGGAGAAAGCUUUAUGCACCAUUGGAUGAGCCUGCACUUGAUUAGUUUGUUGGUGGGGUAAUGGCCUACCAAGACUGUGAUCAAUAGCUGAUUUGAGAGGAUGAUCAGCCACAUUGGGACUGAGACACGGCCCAAACUCCUACGGGAGGCAGCAGUGGGGAAUCUUGCACAAUGGAGGAAACUCUGAUGCAGCGAUGCCGCGUGAGUGAAGAAGGCCCUUGGGUUGUAAAGCUCUUUCGUCGGGGAAGAAAAUGACUGUACCCGAAUAAGAAGGUCCGGCUAACUUCGUGCCAGCAGCCGCGGUAAUACGAAGGGACCUAGCGUAGUUCGGAAUUACUGGGCUUAAAGAGUUCGUAGGUGGUUGAAAAAGUUAGUGGUGAAAUCCCAGAGCUUAACUCUGGAACUGCCAUUAAAACUUUUCAGCUAGAGUAUGAUAGAGGAAAGCAGAAUUUCUAGUGUAGAGGUGAAAUUCGUAGAUAUUAGAAAGAAUACCAAUUGCGAAGGCAGCUUUCUGGAUCAUUACUGACACUGAGGAACGAAAGCAUGGGUAGCGAAGAGGAUUAGAUACCCUCGUAGUCCAUGCCGUAAACGAUGUGUGUUAGACGUUGGAAAUUCAUUUUUCAGUGUCGCAGGGAAACCGAUAAACACACCGCCUGGGGAGUACGACCGCAAGGUUAAAACUCAAAUGAAUUGACGGGGACCCGCACAAGUAGUGGAGCAUGUGGUUUAAUUCGAAGAUACGCGCAGAACCUUACCAACACUUGACAUGUUCGUCGCGACUUUAAGAGAUUAAAGUUUUCGGUUCGGCCGGACGAAACACAGGUGCUGCAUGGCUGUCGUCAGCUCGUGUCGUGAGAUGUUGGGUUAAGUCCCGCAACGAGCGCAACCCUCACUUUUAGUUGCCAUCAUUAAGUUGGGCACUCUGAAAGAACUGCCAGUGAUAAGCUGGAGGAAGGUGGGGAUGACGUCAAGUCCUCAUGGCCCUUACGUGUUGGGCUACACACGUGCUACAAUGGUAUCUACAACAGGAAGCAAGACUGCGAAGUUAAGCAAAUCCCUAAAAGAUACCUCAGUUCGGAUUGCACUCUGCAACUCGAGUGCAUGAAGCUGGAAUUACUAGUAAUCGUGGAUCAGCGUGCCACGGUGAAUGCGUUCCCGGGUCUUGUACACACCGCCCGUCACACCAUGGGAGUUGGUUCUACCUUAAGGCAAGGUUUUAAACCCUUGACCACGG
rnacentral:rRNA from 1 species